UAGGAAAUAAUAUAAAGGAAGUAUGGAGGGUUUUGAUCUCUUCUGUAUGGGUUCGAUUCCCAUUUUUCUAA
rnacentral:tRNA from 1 species